CCUACGGGAGGCAGCAGUGAGGAAUAUUGGUCAAUGGGCGUAAGCCUGAACCAGCCAAGUCGCGUGAGGGCUGAAGGUUCUAUGGAUCGUAAACCUCUUUUAUAAGGGAAUAAAGUGUGGGACGUGUCCUAUUUUGUAUGUACCUUAUGAAUAAGGAUCGGCUAACUCCGUGCCAGCAGCCGCGGUAAUACGGAGGAUCCGAGCGUUAUCCGGAUUUAUUUGGUUUAAAGGGUGCGUAGGCGGCCUUUUAAGUCAGCGGUGAAAGUCUGUGUCUCAACCAUAGAAUUGCCGUUGAAACUGGGGGGCUUGAGUAUGUUUGAGGAAGGCGGAAUGCGUGGUGGAGCGGUGAAAUGCUUAGAUAUAACGCAGAACCCCGAUUGCGAAGGCAGCCUGCCAAGCCAUGACUGACGCUGAUGCACGAAAGCGUGGGGAUCAAACAGGAUUAGAUACCCGGGUAGUC
rnacentral:rRNA from 1 species